rnacentral:rRNA from 1 species
AUGGCACUGCUCUUCCCGCCCCCGGCCCUCUCACCCAAACCCCCCUUCCCCUCCACCCUCCGAUCGACGCGGCCGCGGCGCGCCACCUGUAUCAGCAGCGUCUCCUCUCCUCGCCCUCCCGCUUCGGCGCCCUCCCCAUCCACCUCCUCGCCGUACAAGGCGCCGGCGCUAGACGGGGGCACGGAGACAAGGAAGAAGAAGAAGAGGAGGAACCUGAAGCCGAGCUUCGAGGAGCAGGCGCUCCGCCGCUGGUCCGCGAGGGCGCCCUCCCAGCGCGCCUCCUUCCCCUGGCAGCGGCAGCAGCCGCAGCCGGCUCACCGACAAAACGAGGGCGCGGAGGAUCAUGAGCCCAGUAGCGCCACGCUGCGGUCCAUCGUCGAGUACUUCGACUACGACUCCUCGGAGGAUGGCGGCGGCGGUGUUGGAGAGGGCAAGGACAAGGGGAAUGACGGCGUGGCACACGGCGAGGCGGCCCAUGACCGGGACGAAGAGUCGCGUUCCCAACCGACCUACCUUCUUGGGAGCCGGCCGGUCUCCGCGCCGUGGAUGCACGGGCAAGAAGGACCCACCGUCGUCGGCCGGCUGCUUUCGGGUCCGGUGGGCGGAGACGAGGAAGAGGCUGUCAGGAAUGGUGUGUUCGAUGAUGAGCUAGAUUCGGAGGAUGAAGACGAAGAGUGGGUGGACAACAGUGAGGUAUUGGAAGAAGAGCCAAUGACAGUGAACUUAGAAGAGGAAUUGUAUGAGGAUGAGGAUUCUGCUGCGCCGGCAACAAGUUCUUCUUUUCCGCUGGAUUCUAUACUGGAGGACCAAGCUUCCACAGGCGGUGGGUUCGACAGGAGUAUAAGGCGAAGCAGUGUAAGCUCAAUUGUCAACACACUCAGGAAUUCGAUGGAGGAAAGUGCCACAAUUGGGAGCUCCGAAGGGGAAGAUUUUGUCCAGAAGCUGGGUUCUGUGCUCCUUCCAUGGGAGAGGGAGGAGGGGAAUGCGUUUGAUGGUGACAACCGAGGGAGGCAUAGCAACACCAAGUUGGCAGAGAGGACUAUACCGGAACCAGAGCUGCGGAGGCUUAGAGACGCUGCAUUGAGGAUGAAGGAGAGGAUGAGGGUUGGUCCAGGAGGGGUUACACAUGCCAUUGUGGAGAGCAUCCACAGUAAAUGGAAGGUGGGCGAGGUGGUCAAGAUGAGGUUUGAAGGGCCUCCCAGCCUGAACAUGAAGAGAACCCAUGAGAUACUAGAGGACAGGACUGGAGAAACUGUGAUAUGGAGGUCAGGGAGGUCGAUUUCAUACGCCAAAAUUGCGGAAGUUGAUUCAUCUGAAAAUGCUGGCGAUGCCAUUGGUGUUGUACGCAGCUCUGAAGAGCGUAACUUGCAAAAGCCAACUGUUGAGCAUGAUUUUCAAAAGCCAAUUAUUGAGCGCAAUUUGCAAAAGUCAAGUGCAGACGAUGUGAAAAGAUCGAAAUCUAUCAUGAAUUUCUCUCAAGAAGCUACGGAAACGUUUGAUAUCGAUAGCUUCUUGGAUCAGUUGGGACCACGGUACAAGGAUUGGUCUGGUCGCAGCCCCAUCCCUGUGGAUGCUGACUUGCUUCCCUGUGGAUGGAGAAACAGGGAACACCAAGGCUUAGCUGCUGCUAUUGUUAAAGUAUGGGAGAAAAGUUCUAUUGUAAAGAUUGCCAUCAAGAGGGGGAAAUUGACAGGAGUACUUGUUUCGAGGAACAAGGAGUAUAUUAUUUUCUAUAGGGGAAAUGACUUCGUGACACCUAAAGUAAGGAAGGUCUUGGUGGAACAGCAACAACACGCAAUUACUCAGCAGGAACAGGAAGAGCUGGCCAGGCUCAAAGCAUCAGACUCAAUUACUCCCAUCCCCAAAGCAUUAAAGAAUCCUCUAGUUGCUGGCACUCUUGCAGAAACUAGAGAAGCCACAUCUCGAUGGGGAGAUUCACUUAAUGACGAGCUGAGGAAAAAGGAGAAUAAUUGUUUGAUUUUGGCCAAACAUACCUCUCUUUUGAAGAACAUGAAGAGAAAACUGAUUUUGGCGAAAACAAAGGUUGCAAAAGCAGAGAUGGCUUUGGCGAAAGUUCAGGAAUAUCUCUCUCCAGCAGAGCUUCCAACUGAUCUGGAAACUGUUACAGACGAGGAGCGUUUCCUAUUCCGCAGAAUUGGCCUGAAAAUGAAGGCCUUUUUGAUGCUUGGCAGGCGGGAAGUUUUUGAUGGUACUGUGCAAAACAUGCACUUUCACUGGAAGCAUCGAGAAUUGGUCAAAAUUGUUGUGAAGGGGAAGACCUUUGAACAAGUUAAACAUAUUGCUAUCUCUCUAGAAGCUGAAAGUGGAGGUGUGCUCAUUGCACUUGACAAGACAACAAAAGGAUAUUCAAUCAUUUUCUACCGUGGUAAGAACUAUAAAAGGCCCCAAGUUUUAAAGCCACGGAACCUAUUGACAAGGAGACGGGCAAUGGCACGGUCCAUUGAGCUCCAAAGACGAGAGGCAUUAAAUCAUCACAUCUCAGUUCUGCGACACAAGAUCUGGAAGUUGAAGUCACAGCUUGUACAGAUGAGGGCGGCUGGGAGAAAACAGGACGCAGAGUUACUCCAAACGGUUGAGGACGAUUUGUCUUCAGAUGAUGAUAAUAUACAGGAUGAAGGGGAUGAAGCUUACCUGCAAACUUACGGCAGCGACGAUGAGGACGAUGCCGACGAUGAUUCCAACGAAUAUCUCUGA